AACUGAGACACGGUCCAGACACCUACGGGUGGCAGCAGUCGAGAAUCAUUCACAAUGGGGGAAACCCUGAUGGUGCGACGCCGCGUGGGGGAAUGAAGGUCUUCGGAUUGUAAACCCCUGUCAUGUGGGAGCAAAUUAAAAAGAUAGUACCACAAGAGGAAGAGACGGCUAACUCUGUGCCAGCAGCCGCGGUAAUACAGAGGUCUCAAGCGUUGUUCGGAAUCACUGGGCGUAAAGCGUGCGUAGGCGGUUUCGUAAGUCGUGUGUGAAAGGCGGGGGCUCAACCCCCGGACUGCACAUGAUACUGCGAGACUAGAGUAAUGGAGGGGGAACCGGAAUUCUCGGUGUAGCAGUGAAAUGCGUAGAUAUCGAGAGGAACACUCGUGGCGAAGGCGGGUUCCUGGACAUUAACUGACGCUGAGGCACGAAGGCCAGGGGAGCGAAAGGGAUUAGAUACCCCUGUAGUCCUGGCAGUAAACGGUGCACGCUUGGUGUGCGGGGAAUCGACCCCCUGCGUGCCGGAGCUAACGCGUUAAGCGUGCCGCCUGGGGAGUACGGUCGCAAGAUUAAAACUCAAAGAAAUUGACGGGGACCCGCACAAGCGGUGGAGUAUGUGGCUUAAUUCGAUGCAACGCGAAGAACCUUACCUGGGCUUGACAUGUAAUGAACAACAUGUGAAAGCAUGCGACUCUUCGGAGGCGUUACACAGGUGCUGCAUGGCCGUCGUCAGCUCGUGUCGUGAGAUGUUUGGUUAAGUCCAGCAACGAGCGCAACCCCUGUUGCCAGUUACCAGCACGUAAAGUCGGGGACUCUGGCGAGACUGCCCAGAUCAACUGGGAGGAAGGUGGGGACGACGUCAGGUCAGUAUGGCCCUUAUGCCCAGGGCUGCACACGUACUACAAUGCCCAGUACAGAGGGGGCCGAAGCCGCGAGGCGGAGGAAAUCCUAAAAACUGGGCCCAGUUCGGACUGUAGGCUGCAACCCGCCUACACGAAGCCGGAAUCGCUAGUAAUGGCGCAUCAGCUACGGCGCCGUGAAUACGUUCCCGGGUCUUGUACACACCGCCCGUCACAUCAUGGAAGCCGGUCGCACCCGAAGUAUCUGAAGCCAACCGCAAGGAGGCAGGGUCCUAAGGUGAGACUGGUAACUGGGAUGAAGUCGUAACAAGGUAGCCGUAGGGGAACCUGCGGCUG
rnacentral:rRNA from 1 species